ACUAGAGCAGAGCUUGUGCAUGUUUUGUAACAUGAAAAGUUACAAAUUGUAACAUAAUAACAUUGAGACGGUACUUUCUCCACAUGACUCCUAGUGUGUAACCAAAGCUUCAACUCUUCUCUAUUCAAAUAGUAUAGAGAUCUCCUCUGUAGCCAUAACACUGUCCUCAUUCAACCUCGCACACUCACUAGGCCAGUGUUGGUCUUUUUUUUAUUUGCUCUGCUUAUUUAACAGUUUGUUUGCUCAGCAUUACAAUUUGUGCUGACCAGGUUUCUUACAGCAGGCAACAUACAGGACAAAAAGGCCAGCAGGACAAAAAGAUGUUAUGAUGAAACAAAGUGGAUAUCGGCAUCAAAAAGCAGGAGGUGGGACCUGAGCUGGACUCACACAAGCAGUUCCUUUUCCUGCCCAGUGCCACUCUAUUUUAAGUUAUGGACCCGCUCUACUCCGUCGUCCGUGAAGUGGUUAUAUAUAAUUUUGGUAUGCACACUCCUCCUGGAUACAACAGCUCCUCUCGUCCUCCCAUCUUUCUCCUGUGCCACCAUCUUGCCAUCCUCUAUAAGUUUUUUAUGUGUUUUUAUAUGUUAUUUUCAAUAAAGUUA